rnacentral:rRNA from 1 species
AGUCACUGACAUUAGAUACCCGCGUAGUCCCAGCCGUAAACUAUGCGCGUUAGGUGUACUGGUGACCACGAGUCACCGGGGUGCUGUAGGGUAGCCGUUAAACUCGCUGCCUGGGGAGUACGGUCGCAAGGCUGAAACUUAAAGGAAUUGGCGGGGAGCACCACAAGAGGUGGAGGCUGCGGUUCAAUUGGACUCAACGCCGGAAAACUCAUCGGGAGCGACAGCAGUAUGAUUGCCAGGUUGAUGACCUUGCUUGACAAGCUG